UACAGGGGGGGCAAGCGUUGUUCGGAAUUACUGGGCGUAAAGGGCUCGUAGGUGGCCAACUAAGUCAGACGUGAAAUCCCUCGGCUUAACCGGGGAACUGCGUCUGAUACUGGAUGGCUUGAGGUUGGGAGAGGGAUGCGGAAUUCCAGGUGUAGCGGUGAAAUGCGUAGAUAUCUGGAGGAACACCGGUGGCGAAGGCGGCGACCUGGUCCUUGACUGACGCUGAGGCGCGAAAGCGUGGGGAGCAAACAGG
rnacentral:rRNA from 1 species